rnacentral:rRNA from 1 species
CCUACGGGAGGCUGCAGUGGGGAAUAUUGGACAAUGGGGGGAACCCUGAUCCAGCCAUGCCGCGUGUGUGAAGAAGGCCCUCGGGUUGUAAAGCACUUUCAGUGAGGAAGAACGCCUGGUGGUUAAUACCCAUCAGGAAAGACAUCACUCACAGAAGAAGCACCGGCUAACUCCGUGCCAGCAGCCGCGGUAAUACGGAGGGUGCGAGCGUUAAUCGGAAUUACUGGGCGUAAAGCGCGCGUAGGUGGCUUGAUAAGCCGGUUGUGAAAGCCCCGGGCUCAACCUGGGAACGGCAUCCGGAACUGUCAAGCUAGAGUGCAGGAGAGGAAGGUAGAAUUCCAGGUGUAGCGGUGAAAUGCGUAGAGAUCGGGAGGAAUACCAGUGGCGAAGGCGGCCUUCUGGACUGACACUGACACUGAGGUGCGAAAGCGUGGGUAGCAAACAGGAUUAGAUACCCUUGUAGUC